CCGCUAGUAGGAUCUCACAAAAGCUUCAAUAGGAGAGAACAAAGCUGCGUUAAAGGUCAGAAUGAGAAGACUAGAAAUGGGUGGUUCAGCGAGAGCCCAGGCACUAACCUGAUAGACCUGGUUUUGCACAACUUAGAACUAUGUAGAAAAUAAUAUUAAAUCACUCGAAGGAAGUUUGUGUUGGAAAAGGUGACUAACAGAUUCCUGGCUAUGAAAAUAAAGAAACUGCUGGCAUUUUAAACUCCAGUAAGGAGAGAGAGGAGGAUUAGUUGGGCAUGAGGAGAAGUAAUGAACUACAGCCGAGUAUAUUAAUUUCAUGUGCUCAUGAGACGUCUGACAAAGAUGUCAAGAAAUUCUUUUCUCCCACAGAUAACUGUUCCCCCCGAGAAGCUCUUCAAUACUCAUCUGUCAUGAAGAAAACGUAUUGGAAAAUGAAAGCACGAAAAAUUCUCCUGAGAUGUAGAUGCCAUCUAAAUUUCUCUUUACAAUUCUGUUAUUUGCAUGCUAAUAGCUGCCUAUCUAACUCCGGAGCAAGAAAAAUGCGACUUUAUUUGAAGUCACAUCACAGUCUGACAGUUGAUUUCAUCAUCACAAAUGAAAAACAGAAGGACAGUAGGACAAGAAGAGCCAACGAAAACAGAGGAAAAAGUGGGGAGAGAGUGGAGGGAAUGGAGAGAAACUGUAUACAGGGGGUAGAAAGAAGUGUCCCUCGCAAGAGCGCCUCGUCACCAGGAAAGCGAUCAUGUACCGCUUCUGCCUUUCAGAAGUUUCCGGAGCUUGAGGGCGGAGCUGUGCCUGGGACGCAGCUGAUCUACUUCUGGGUGAUGGGGUUCAUCUAGUACUGCAGCCUAGCCUGGUGCACACGAGAAUAUUUUUAAAGUCCUUUUUCCUCUGACUAACUCAUAUAUUAAAAAUAAACUGCUGUAGAAGUCUUUGCUUUCUGAUGACUUUGGCGAGCUUGCUGUUUUAACGAGGCCAUUGCAGAAUCUGUUUUAUUAUACAAAAUCCUCUUUUGAUAUACUUAGAGCCUAGACAAAGUCAAUCUGAGAACUUCAAAGAAGAUAAUAAGGAAGGAAAGUUA
rnacentral:lncRNA from 1 species